rnacentral:misc_RNA from 1 species
UUGCAGAUUGAGGCAUGGCCUUCAUUGCCUCCCUGGCAGCAUGCAGAGCCUCUUUGAUUUUGGAGAAUGCCAAAUAAGAAUGAACCAAACCUUGAUAUGAACGAAGAUCGGGUCUCAAUUCUUGCUUGAGCUCCCCUGAAAGCAAUUACAGCUGCUUCUGGUCGCUUCAAUGACAAGAGUAGAUUACCCUUCAUUAUGUAACCUGGAAUGUGCCUCUCAUCAAUUCGGAUACUCUUCUCAGCAUAAGACAAUGCUCCUCUUUCAUCUUUCCUUUCCCACAGGACAGACAAAGCCACAAAAACUUCCGGCCUUGUAGGAUCAAUACUCAGCAAAUCAUGCACUAACUUAUUUAGCUUUGAGUAAUCAGACUUUGUCUUUAGAAGCAUUGCAUGCUCAUCCAUAUAAG